GAUGAACGCUGGCGGCGUGCCUAAUACAUGCCAGUCGAGCGAACAGACGAGGAGCUUGCUCCUCUGACGUUAGCGGCGGACGGGUGAGUAACACGUGGAUAACCUACCUAUAAGACUGGGAUAACUUCGGGAAACCGGAGCUAAUACCGGAUAAUAUAUUGAACCGCAUGGUUCAAUAGUGAAAGAAGGUUUUGCUGUCACUUAUAGAUGGAUCCGCGCCGCAUUAGCUAGUUGGUAAGGUAACGGCUUACCAAGGCGACGAUGCGUAGCCGACCUGAGAGGGUGAUCGGCCACACUGGAACUGAGACACGGUCCAGACUCCUACGGGAGGCAGCAGUAGGGAAUCUUCCGCAAUGGGCGAAAGCCUGACGGAGCAACGUCGCGUGAGUGAUGAAGGUCUUCGGAUCGUAAAACUCUGUUAUUCGGGAAGAACAAAUGUGUAAGUACCUAUGCACGUCUUGACGGUACCUAAUCAGAAAGCCACGGCUAACUACGUG
rnacentral:rRNA from 1 species